UCAUUGUGUUGACUUAUCUCCUUCCAGACAGAACCUACAUUUAAAAAACUAUAGUAUAAAAUGGAGUUAAGAAAAGAUGUGAUAUCUUUUCUUGCUGAAAAGGGUGUUCUAUACCCUGGUUUGCCCAACCCAUGAACUGUUAUAAGCCAACAGUAGGAUAAAGCAGAAGAAGAAUAUCACUCUUGUAAAACACCCAUUCCCCUGGUGAUCUGAAAUACUUGGUGAUCUGUUAUUCAUUUUGCUCCCCCAGGGGAUGACUAUUUGUCUGCAAUGAUGUUGGAAAUAUACUGAGAGACUUCACACAUCCUUUUCCAAACUGAGCUUCAUUCCAAUGGAGGAGGUUAAAUCAUUUGGCUUUCAAGCUGGCAUCUGUCUACACCUGGCAUGUGGAGUGGGAUAGGUGAAGCUAUGAAAAUAUACAGCUCAUACUGUAGAACUUUCAAAGAGAACUCAUUUUUAAAAAUGCCCUCUGCUUUAUUCACUUGUUACUCAUUUGAACAGGCACCAGGAAAACAGCACAGAACCAUAUCCAUUGUACUUGGCAAAGUUUAUGCAAGUGGGAAUUAAAAGAAUACCUCUGAUGUCCUGUUAUUCAUGAUACCACUCACUUUGGUAACAUUUAUGGUAACAAUAUGAAUCUUACCUGGCACUUGGUGGGCAUUGGCACAUACAAAUUAGCUCUUAUCUUCUGCAAGUCUAUUCAAUUUCUUGUCCAAGGCUCAAUACAACAAUAACAGAUUGUUUAAUAUAUGACUGGAAAUGUAUUAUUUAUGAUCACAAAUAAGCUCAUUGUAUCUUAGAAGCUCAAGUACUGUGAAGACACUGAUGUUCAACAUUUGUUUUCUCAGAAAUUUUUAUUUGUUAAAACCGCAGAUUUUCUAUAUCCAGAGGACUAAACCUACAGAUGCAUAAUUUUACAUUAAGCUCAUUUUCAUAUUCAGAAACCAAUGUUUAUUUCAACAAAGAGCAAGAAAACUUACCUUUUAAAAGUACAGUUUAAACUGGGUAUCAUUAGGUAGAACAUGUAUAGAUAUUAUAACAACUUGUAAAUUUCAUAUCUAUCACUGCAGACUUAUUUGGCAGGGUGAAACCAAAAAUUACAAGUUAGAGAGCCAAUAAUGCCCAGUAAAAAAUGAUAAUAAUAUCAGUAACUGUCAUCUGCACAGUGAUCAGGAGGCUGCACACACUGCCAGGACUAACUUCUUUUAUUGCAAAACGGCAGCAUUGACUAAUGACCAAAAAGUGUCAACUCUAGGUAUAUUUGGUGUGAUCAGUUUUGCAACAUAAAAACAAUGGCCAUAAAUUCACAAGCCAUUUACUGAUGAUGAAGUGAUGGCCAGGUAUCAAUGCCAUCUCUCUGGUCACAGCCAAGUGUCCAAAACCUGGACUCAUAAUUUCUUAUUUACCAUCUUGCUACAGAGAUCAUUGUCAAAUUUGGAAAUAAUUAAAGAGGGAGAAUUGUUUUCUAGCUACUCUUGGCAGGGAAAAGAAAGCCUGCCUUGAUUUUUGCUAGGAAGAUGGGACAGAUACGUGGCAGAAGGGCAGAUAGAGGGGAGGUUAGAGCUGAGUCAGAGUGGGUGUUGGUUGUGCAGUUCUCUGGGAAGGACUUGCGAGUUACAGAAUUAAAAGUGUAUUAUCCUAUGUGAUAAAUAGAAUUUGAGAAGAAACCCUGUAGUAGAUGGAGGAUUCUUCUUAAUGCAGCUUGGCUUUUUUUUAUCUUUUAAAUUUUAUUUUUCCACAUUUUUUAUUGGUGUAUUAUAAUUGUACAUAAUGGUGAGAUCUGUUGUUACAUAUUCAUACAUGGAUACAAUAUAACAAUAUAGUUUGACUAAUAUCACCACCCUGUACUUUUCCCCCUUCUCCUCCUCCCAUCCCCUAAUUUUUUUUAAUCUAACUCACUAAAAGGAUUCUAUCUCCAGAAUCACAACUCUUCAUAACAUAAGAAAUUCACAAGUUUUUCCCUUUUCGGGACAACAUCCUUUCAGGUCACCCUGCCCGCCACCAUUGAGCUUCUGCAGGAACAUGUUGGGACUUCUAGAACGAUGGAACUGAAAUAGGUGGGUCUGGACUGGAGUGUUCUGACUGACUGGAUCUUUGGGAUGAUACCACCUUACUCCCUACCUGGAUAUAGUACUUCUAUCAGCACACCGACCUUGCCACUGAUGUUUCUAAUCCACAAGGAGACUCUGAAUGUCAGUACCUUCCCUUGAUGCAACAUCCAAAUAAAGAUGACUUUCACUUGGGACCAAAUCCUGAGAAUAUCCAGAAGCGCUCAGAGCCAUCGCUAAUUGUUCCUAUUUUUCAUCUGGAGAGCUUGGCAGGUCGGUGACAUUAUAGCAAAAGUCUCCCCACUAGGACCUUGCCAAUUUCAGCUUUAAUUCCAUCAGUAAACAACUUUGACUGUGUUGGGAAAAUUCCAUUAAUCAUUCAUGUUCUGCGAAGAAUGAUACACAAAGGAGCUGUCAGCACGAGGCAGCAACUUUCCAUUUGUUUGGUAAUUAAGAACUCCAGGCCAUCUAAUGGUGCCGAGAUGCAAAUUCAUUGCCUGGUUGGAGCCAUUGGAAUGAGCUGAAAAGGAUGCACUUGCACUUACACCCCUCAUGUCAGAUGAUUUGAUGGAUCAUUCCCGCUCCUCUUAGGUGAACAGCAAGCAUAUUGCUUCAAGCUGAAAUGGUACACUUUGAAAAAGCCUUUUUAUUUUAUUUUAUUUUAUUUUAAAGAUUCCACCUCUUUAGUACGUAUACUUUUAAAACUUGUUUCUGAAACAUAGUUUGAGACAUGAAUGCAUCAAUGAAUAUUUUUCAUGAAUCAAAAUUUUAUAUUACCCAAAUAUAAUGAGUCAUACUACCCUAUUAUUUUGCAGAACCAGAGACCCAGGAAAUGUAGGAAAUGAGAAUCCUCUGUAACAGGUAACAUGUUUUGUUUUGUUUUUUCAAUCUGGAUUGCAUAUUAAUAAAUUUAUUUUGAUACCCAGAGACAAUUUGACACUUAAUAUUUACCAGGAAUUCAGCCACAACAUUACAAGAGGCUAUGAAGAAAAUGCUCUGAUAAACCAGAUAUUGCUAGUAGGUCUCCAUGGGAUUCUUGCAUCAUCAGGAAAGUUUAGCCACAAGGUUACAUUUAGAAACACUGAUAGUAUUCAAAUAUCCCAAGUCCUCAUCACUAUUUUCUCCUGUCCAUUACCUUCUUCUUUUCAUUGAAAUCUCUGGUUGAAAUAUCAUGCUCACAGGAAACUAGUGGGAGAGAGUCAAUUCAUGUAUUCAUGCAAUAAGAAAGGACAUUCUCAUGGACAUUUCUGAACACCACUCUCUGUUUCCCCCCCACCCUCUUGGUUAGUUUGAAAAGAUUCCAGGGCUUCAGCUGAGAAAAACUUGCUGGAAAAAUGUCCAGAACUUUUUUUUUUUUUUUAACAAAUCCUUCUCAACUACAAGUUUCUAUAUGUAUAUAUUCUUUAUAAAGAGCUUUCAAGGAGGAACUUCUGGCAACACUUUAAAUGAAAUAUUUUUUGUUUACGGAUGAACAUAAAUUACAAAAUGUAACCCAUAAUUGAGGCUUCAUAGCAGGCAGGUUUUAUUUAAAAAAUGAAAAUAUCAGGAAAUUGUAGUCUGUUAAUAUUCAUUUAUUUCUUAUAGUUACUUAAUGAUCUGCCUUACAUUAAUACUCAUAGUUGCAUCUUUACAUCACUUUGCAAAUUUUAUGGACUUAGAUGAUAGUAAAACAUCAUAACAGAAUCAUAUUAGAAACAGCAUUUUCUCUGUGGCCUCUUCAGUAGUUAGAGAUAUUUGUUAUGUGUGAUAGCUAUCAAUUAUGCCCCAAACAAAUUCAAUCUGAACAUAACCAGGGACAAUAAUAUUGCCCUCUGCUCUCAUCUCUUUUUCCACACAAAAGGUAUUUAUAUAAAUGUGUGGUAUUCCAUUAUACAGCUUAAAUAGUUUAAAAGCAUUUUUCUGUUUCCAUAAAUAUACAGGCUACAUUGACUAUGCAUGUUUAAAUUUCCACUUUGCCUUUAGAGAUUAAAAAAAAGGUCAUGCAAAUAAUAAAUUGUUGCAUUGCUGUGCCUCCAAUACCACAUUUGUGAUUUCUUUUCAGAAUAAAAUAAAGCAGUUCCAUGAUAUUUCAGCUCCAGGGGCAGUUUUCAUGUUUUCAACUUGCAUAGAUUGAUGAUUUGUGUGUGUACAUUUUGGGAGUUGUGUCAGAUGGUUGGGAAUGGGAAUGCUAUUAAGCUAAAACAUUAGGACUCCAUUUCCCCCCUGAUUUUUUACAGUAAUCUAGGUGAGAAUAGGAUGGGCUCCAGGAGAAUGAGGAAGGGGAGAAGAAUAUUAGCCUGUGCUGAUACCUGUCCUCAUGGCUACUUCACUACCCCAAACACAAAAUCAUCUGCUUAUUAUUUCAUUCCAACCUCCUAUAUUAUUACCACAAAUAUAUUAGAUAUUCACACUUCAGUCUUACAUAUUCCUAUCUCUUUAGCUCUUUCUCAAUACAUAUUCCAUGUACCAGGGGCAUUUCAAUUUCUCUGACACUUCUGAUUUCUGAUUCUGACAUUCCUACCAGGACAAUAUCUCUUCCUUCUGUGAUCAACAUGGAACCCUAUGGAUAAUGCCCCUAAUAUAAUCAAACCAACAUUGUAAUCCCUACCUCACACCCUUCACCUCUGCCUCAGCUAGGGCCUGCUUCACAGGACCCAUGGUAUCCCCCCAGGAUAUGUGUUCAGGAGGUAGCCUCAAUAUUUAGGGUUUAAUGCCCUCUAGUUACCAUCUUGAAAUUAUGCAUUUUAUUUCUUUACUUCUUUUUAUUGGUGAAGCCUGAUGGGUGAGUGAAGCAUGUGUCAGGUCCAUACAUGGACCUAUCUGUGGUCAUUGUUUCACCACAGGUAGGUUCACCACAGGAUAGGCUUUUACCUCACUGUUACCUCAACCCUUCAGCAACUGCUGCAUCCAUCCACUCCCUGAUGAGUUCUGGACAAGAACACUGGAAAUAUAAAUAUUGGGCAUUUGUAAUCCAAGACAUGGGGUUGGGAAACUGGGAAUGUCUCCACUCACUCCAUGAAUACUGUGGAGACAGAAGGAGCAUUGCAUUAUUAGAUAGCCAAUAAAAAAUACCACAACGGGCCAAGAGAGAUACCAUGGGGGAAAGGAAAAUCCUUUUUCCUGAGUUUUGAACAAAGGGUUCAUAAAGUUUCAUUUUGCUUUGGUCCCACAAUUUAGGUAGCCAUCCCUGGGCCCAGCAUUGCCAUAGAGGUCAUUGUGAUUUAAUUUCACCACACUGAGACAUUCCUUAGCUGCUGCUUUCUGGACAGAACACAUCACAGAUGCAGUCUCCAACUUCAGCUAAGCCUCAGUGUCCUUUCGAAGCUCUUUUUUAUGUUACCCUCAGCAAAUAUUUAAAAACAACCUUGUUUCUGAUGUCCUCUUCCUCAGCCUUACAUGUUAAUUUACAAAAGUAUUGAUAAUAUGAACUCUGAUUUGCAGCAAUGGUCAGGCAUUCUCCAAAAUAUAACCAUUUGUGUAUCUAUCUUUCUCUGCUUCCCAUUUAUCUAAAAAUUGUCAACCUGUAACUUGACCCCACACACGGAUUUCUCUAACUUUCCCACUUACUUUUUUUGACAUCUGUGUCUACAUUUCUGCACUGUUUCUGUCCAUUCAUCCAAAGCCUCUACAAUCUGUCUUAUGUCCGUACCUUACUUGCAGAGUAUUCCUCUGAGUCUCACCAGUGAAAAAAUAAAGGGUCAUGUCUCAAUUUUUCCUUUCCUGCACUCUCUAUUUAUGUUGAUUACUGUUAUCAUUUGAUUCUGUCUACUUUAUCCUCCAAACAAACCAAUAAAAAGUGAGCUGAGUUCUUACAUCCAGAAUCUGUUAAUGUGACUUGAUUGGAAAUCAGGUUUAGCAAAUAUAACCAAGUUAAGAUAAGCCAUAUUGGGUUGGAGUGCUCCCUAAUCUAAUGACUGCUGUCCUUGUUAGAUAAGGUAAACUUGGACAUAGUCACACAAAGGAGAAGGCCAGUUGAAGGUAGAGGCAGAGAUUGAAGUGAUGCAUCUACAAGCCAAGGAAUGCCCAGACUGCAGAUAGCUGCUAGAAGCUAAGGAGAGACAAAGACAGAUUCCUCUCAUUGAGACUUGACAGAGAAUAUGCCCAGGACAACAGGCUGAUUUAAGUUCCCUAUCACUCACAAUAGUGAGAGAGGUUAUUUCUGUUGGUUUUAAUGGGACUUUAUUACAGCAGCUUUAGGAUAUUAAUAUAAUCACUCAAUUUUUCAUCUUCUUAGCUUUUAUGCCACUAUGCACUCUUUAUUUUCCUCUUGCCUUUCUGAUCAUUUUCAUCAUUGUUCUUCUUUAUUUCCCCCUUUGAAGCAGUGUUUCCCCAGGGUUCUUGGGUGGGCCUACCACCGAGCUCUUUCUACAACUCCUUCUCUCUACAAUGUAUUCUGUUUCCAUCCACACCCAACUCAGCCUUCAUCACACACCUUAGUUUUGCUUAUCUUCCAAAACUGCAGUGCCUUCACGUUAUCCAGAAUUUCUCAUAUACUCCGAUUCUGUUGAGAGUCCCUCCUCUGAGCCUUGAAGCAUCCUGAGCACAGAGCUCCCUGCACUGACCAUAUUGAAGUGGUACAUUUUCCAUGUAUGUACGAUGCUCUCCGAACAGGUGAUGUGGAAGACAGAAUUCCAACAUGGCUCACAAGGUUCUCAACCCUCCACGCUCAUGCUGCACCCUUCACUGUGACUGAAGCCUUUGAAUUUGACAGGACAUGACUAUAGUGAUCACAUUUCUUUACAUGGCAUUGCCAUAGAGGCCAUUGUGAUUUAAUCUCAUCACACUGAGACCUCCCUCAGAUGCUGCUCUCUGGACAGACCACAUCACAGAUGCAGUCUCCAACUUCAACUAAGCCUCAGUGUCCUUUCAAAGCUCAAAUAUGGCAAAUAUAAUUAGGGACAUAAGUCAGUUGUACCUGAGUUCACCUGUGGGGAGAUGAUCUGCUGACCUGACUUGAUCACACAAUCCCGGAGAAGGGAAAAGCCUUUCUGAAGUGAGAGAGAUUUCAUAGAACUGGUGGGGAUUCUCCCUUGUUUCUGGUUUUGAAAAGGCAAGAAUCUCUAAGACUGAGUGGAGCACAGGUUGAAGGUGCUAAGAGCAGUUCUGAGUAGCCAAAUGUGACCUGAGUCACAUGGGCAUUGUAUUAAUAUAUCCCCAACACCAGAGAGCUCAAAGGAGGACCCUAACUCCAGAAAAAAAUGCAGCUUUACUAUCAUCACUGUCUGACAUGAGCAGAGGACUCUGCUUUAACUUAUCACUUACAACUGCAAGAUAAUAAAUUUGUGCCCUGUUAAACUACUACAUAUGUUUUGACUCUUUACACCAUUGAAAACUAAUGCAAAGGGAAGCUGUUCCAUGUCAGAAACUAAGUUUUUUCCUCUCAGCCUCAUUCACAACUCAUUCUACACUGUAAGUGUUCAGUGCUUGCUUAUUUCCACACUCUUUGAAUCUUUUUUAUCGAGAAUUACAAUGGUGAUUUAUCAUUGUUGAAUGCCAUUAUAAAUGUUAUUGUGAUUAUUAUUAUAUUUAUUUUAUAAACUAAUUUCAGAGUCUGAAGGAGGGUCUUCUUUGACAUUUUUCCCACACACCUUGCACACCACAGCCUAUCCCUAUACAUGGACAAGGUUUCUUUUCCACAUUUCCUACACCUUUCAGUAUGAAGCUGAAUUUCUCCACUCAGAAAAAAACCAAUUUUGGCUCCCAGAGGCCAACCAAGAUCUCAGGAAAUUGUUAUUCACAAAGUGCUUUGAAAUCUUCAGCACAAUAGUAUGCAAAGAGUAAAGUGUCUGCUGAUGUACACAUAUUGGAAACAUACGCUGUGAUAUAAAACCACAUAUCUCAGACCCACAAAUAAUGCAGAAGGCAGCAUUUAAUUUCCUGGUGGGAUGGCUUUCUAUUAUUUUCUUUCUGAAACUCCCAGUUCCAUCAAAGCAAAGAAUAAAUGCAAUUUUCCUAGACAAGCAAAAUAUAGAGAGUAAAACCAUUAUUCUAGGCCAUUUGGAAUUUCAGUGUAGAUACAUGUAUAAACUUAUAGGACCUUUGGAAAAUAGCUGAUUGUAGUUAAGAAUUAUGUUUCCAAUGUUUAGAAAAGUGUUCAGUAUAGUUAAGGGCUCAGAUCAUGGCAUAUCCCUACAAAAAAAUCCAGUCAACUCUUUCACUUUAAUUUUUUAAAAAGUUUAGUUAAGUAUACAUGAAGUAAAGUUUGCCAUUUUAACCAUUAGUAAAUGUACAGUUCAGUAGUGUUAAAUAUUCUCCCAUUGUUAUGCUGUCAAUUUUCAGAACAUUUUUGUCUCAAAAAUGAAAAUUUAAUGUUCAUUGACACUAAUUUCCAGAUUCUCUGUGUCCAGUCAUUGUCAUCUCAAUUUUCCUUUUUACUUUAUUUUGAAUUUGACAACUCUAGGUGGCUUAUGUGAAUGGAAGCACCUAGUGUCUGUAUUUUUUUGUGGCCAGCUUAUUUCGUGUGCCACAAUGUCCUCACACUUCAUCCAUGCAGUAGUAUCAGAAUUUCCUUUCAUUUUAAGACUGAACAAUUUUCCUUUAUAUAUAUGCACCACAUUGUGUUUAUCUAGUUACCUGCUGAUGGACACUUGGACUAUUUCCUUUUGACUAUUGGUAAUGAUGUUAGUAAUGGUGUUGCUUUGAGCAACUCCUUAGGAUUUGGCUUUAUUUUUUUCCUUUUUUGAGCAUAUACACAGAAGUAUAAUUGUUGCAUCAUGUAGUAAUUUAAUUUUAAUUUAUUUAUUUGGUAUUGGGGAUUCAACCCAGAUUCAACACUCUACCAUUAAGCUACCUCCCCAGCCCUAUUUAUUUUUUAUUUUGAGUCUGAGUCUCACUAAGUCACUAAGACUGGUGUCAAAUUUGCCAUCAUCCUGCUUCAAUCUCCUCAGUGGCUGGGAUUACAGGCAUGUACCAUUGCACCCAGCUCUAUUUUUAAUUAUUUGAGAAAUUGCCAUAUUAUUUUCAUAUAAACCAUAUAAUUUUACAUUUUCACUAUAUUAUUAGAAGCAGACUGCUAUAACAAAUAUGAGACACUUGAUGUAUUAAGCAACAGAAAUUUAUUUUCUUCCUGUUUGAGAAAAUGGGAGGUUAAAUAUUAGUAUACAAACUAUGCUCUGUUUCUGACAAGGGUUCCCAUCUUGGUUUUCAGACAACCGUGUUUUUACUGUGUCCUGGUAGAGAAAAAGAGAGGGGAGGAGGACAAAGAGAAUAUCUCUUUUCUUCUUAUAAGCCCAUCAAUACUGUAUAAUUAGGAUUCACUUGUAUUAGUUGGUUUUUCAUUACUAUAACAAAUAUUUGAGAUAAUCAAAUUAUAAAGAAAGAAUUUUUUAAUUUGGCUCAAAAUUUGAGAGAUUUCAGUGGAUGGGUGGACCUGUUGCUUUGGUCUUGUGGGGGCAAAUUAAGGUGGGAUCAUGUAGCAGAGAGAUACCACUCAUUUUAUGGCAAGAAAGUGAAGGAAAGAGGGGAGCCAGUUUCCACUAUCCCGUGCAAGGGUACAUCCCCUUCCACCAUGUGGGUCUUUGGGGGACAUUUAAGAAGUAAACUGUAGCACCAUACUUAUUAACUCAAUUGACCUUAAUAAUACCCGAAAACCCCUAUCUUUGAACACAGUUAGAGUGUCAACAUAUGAAUGUUGGAGAAAUAAAAUUCAUCCAGUCCAUGUGUCAUGGUUUGUCUAUGUUGUAUCCCCAAAAGCUCAUGGGAGAGAAAAUACAAGAACAUAUCAGAGAUGAAAUGAUGAGACUGUGAAAGUUUUAAAUAGUCCAUCUGCUGCCUGGGCUCUGGACUCACAGCAGGUAAAUGUAAGAAGGUAGAGUGUGGCUGGAGGAGGUAAGUCAUUGGAGGCAUACCUUUGCAGUAUAUAUUUUGGUGAGUGGAGCUCUCUCUCCUUCCGUGUUGCCAUUCCCUGAGCUCCUUUUUUCUGACAUGAACUUCCACCAUGAUAUUCUGUCUUAUUCUUGGUCUCACUACUAUGGAGUUGGACAACUGUGAACUGAGACCUCGGAAACAGAGAGCCCCAAAUAAACUUUUCGUGCUCUACAUUGUUCUUUGAAGGUCAUUUGGUCACAGGGAUGCAAAAGCUGACUAGAAUACCAUAACAUCCAUCAAUGAUGCACAGGGUUCCAAUUUCUCCAUAUUCAUACCAACAAUUGUUAUUUUCUGUGAUUUUUUAUUUGUUUGUUUUGCUUUUUGAUAAUCAUUCUAAUAGAUAAGAGAAAUCUGGCCAACUUUGAAAAUGACCACAAUAAUUAUCUCAUUUCAUUUACAGAAUUUGAUCAUAUACAGCAUUUAUGAAUAUUGUUAUUGUUGUGACUAUGUGCAAUUGAUGUCUGGUAGCUCCCAAAUACAUUCUGAACUUCAAGGCUCUAGGAUACUUUUAUGCAGUUCCUGAAAAAAACAAAAAGAUUUGAUGGAGACUAACAUGUAAGCUCAAAGUCUUAUAGAAUGAAGAUGAUUUUUAAUAAUGUAUUAGAAUGCUGUAUUUUAUCUCAUUCCUCACCAUGCAAAGACAAAUACACACUCAGAUUUCAUCAGUACUGUGGUUUUCAAUAUUUUGGCAAUCAAAUGUAAGGCACAGGAGGGUCAGGUGUUGGGUCUAGUUCCAAUUAUAAUUUGCUAUAUAGACAACAGCAAGUUCUUCAGUUUCUCAAAGCCUCAGUUUCUCCAUUCAUGGUACAUAAAUACCUAUACUUACAUGCUACCCGUGGCUUAGGCCUUUUAAAAGGAAGAACUGAGAUCAAAGACGACAAUGAAUUGAAAAUAAUUAAUGGUGGUCUUUGCAAAAAUCAUUACCGUGUUCAGUAAAUGGAGAGAAGUUUGCAUGCAUAUGACACAUGUUUUCAAACAAUUCCUCAUCACACAAAACUGUGUACAAAAUGGGGGAAAGUGCCCUGAUAUGUCAAGUGCUCAUGUCAUGCGAUAGAUAUCUGGCACUGAUCACAAAUGUAAGGUAAAAAUAUAAAAUAAAAUAUCAUAGUCCAUUUAGUCUGAAUAAUAAAAUAUUUAGGAUAUUACUCUCAUAACAAAGAAAGGGAAAGAGAUGAAUUCUCUCAUAGCCAUGGGACAUGUUUUGGUUGAUUAACUACAGCUGGCUCUGCUAUCAUUGGUCUAUCACAAUGUUUUCCUUUCUCUUUUUUUUUAUUGUAUUAGAAAAUAUUAAAUCUCAAAUAUAGAUUCUCAGUAAUAGCAGAAACCAUUUGGUGGCAUCAGUCAGAUAAUUCUAGAUAUUUCAAUCUCAUAUGUGCCCUGAAUAAUGGAGACAUUUCUCACAGAAUAUAUUUUAUUUAGCAUGUCGUCAACUGCCAUAUCCAGUCUUACCUGACAUUCAGAAGCUGGACUAGAGGAUGGCUGCACUGGGUUCUUAAUCCUCUCUUGGUUGCACUUAGCUCUGUGUAAUGCAGAAUUUAAAAGCAUUUUCUUUCCAUGGCUACAGUAUAUCAUGAUUUUAUUUAUCUCAGAAUUAAAGAGCAUCAAGUUAGAAAUUCUAAUGUUAUUUUUAUUUUCAAAAUUAAUAAUCAUGACAUUAAUACACUUUAAUUAGAUUUAGGCUAUAUAAUAUAAUGAAUAACUAAGAUGUGUCACUUGUACAUGUCAAUUGAAUCGUAGUCUUUUCUGGUUUUAUCAGUGUCAUGAAAACAAUUUUUUUGCCUAAUUUCUCAAUUAAUAAAUUCAAAUUAAAGCAUUUCAUUUGUACAGGUAGCAUGCAUUUUUCUUGGAAACUCAGUUUCCUAGUCUCAUGAAAAGUGUUUCCUUCAGGAUGUUGAGGAGACUAUCUUUGGUUAGGAGCCACUUUCAUGCACUUUAAACAGGAGAUCUCCAUUGGGGUAGAACUGUUGGGCUAUUUUUCGGUUGUCUCCUACACCCUUCUUUUUCUCAUAACAGUGAUCUUUAGUGCUGCACACUUGGGGAAUGGCCUGUCAUUUCUGGUUCCAAUGUGACUUUUCUAAUCUUACUUCAUCUCUUGCAAAAUGAUCAAUAAUUAAUUAAAUACUCACAUCUUGUAGAGCACAGGUUUUCAACGAUAAACACAAUUUCAUCGUGAACUCCUCUUUUAUACAUGUACUACAUAUAACAGGGUGUUAAAAUGGGACUACUACGUUUUGGUUUUUACUGAAUUCCCCUCCUCCCAACAAUAGCAGCUACCAAACCAACAUUCCCAACAAAAAAAUUAGGCUAUCAUUUCAAGAUUUGAAAAGGGCAUGUGUAAAAGCUGGUUUUACAGCUCCCUCCCACCCCCGCCCCAAUAUACAAAACCCAAUAAGGAAUAUAAAAUCUAAAAAGAAAAGUGGAUUGUUUGGAAAAAUUCUUAAAAUGCUAUAUAGCCUUAUUUUUUUUUUCACUUCUCUUCCUGAAAAAUAGGAAGAUGCUGUUUGCUUCCCCUAUGGUUUAGCCUGGUAAGAUAGGCUUCCAAAGAGUCUGAUAUGUGAUUCUUAGAGCUAGGGUGAGACAGAUUGGAAAAGGUUAAUGAAUAUGAGCUUAAGUAGAAUACUCAACAAGUAGAAAAUCUAACCAAGAAAGUCUGUAAUUAUUGGCCAAAGGAGAAAGGAAGAACAGGCUAUGUUAGGAGUCUGCCACACUUUCAUUUCUGAAGAGCCAGGAUUAAUAGUAAUUUUCUUAUGGCCUAGUUAGGGCCUGGUGGAACAGAGAGAGCAAGAAUGGGGACACAUUUUCUUCCCCAGAGCAAUUGCCUGGACAGAAUAUUAAACCCAAAUAGGAUAAAACACAAGAUGGACGACAGACACCCAGGUGACGAUCUGGGUGAAAAUGAAUUGUCCCCAUCAUGAGAAGUGAAGUCCUAUGUCUAAGGUGUGAGAGUAGAACCCUGAGAAGACCUGCAACAAGGGGUCAACUUUGGCUAUCCUCAAAGACGGAAGACAUCUACCUCAGAGUAUCCACCAUAGCCAGGGGAAACCAAAGCCAAGUCAUAAUUGCACAAGUCAAGGGGGAAACUUGACUUUGGCCUGUUACUAUGAUGAAGAUGAAAAAGAUCUCAAGGCAAGAGAAUAAAGGUGGCAGUGGCCACUUGCCAACACACCUAUGAAAGAUUGCUCAGCCGGCUGACCUGAGGGAGAAAAGCUGACCUGAAACACAGUUCUUCUUUUUGACUAAAUGAGGUACAUUAAUUCCUGAACAGUCAAUCUUUAAUCUUAAACAUAAGAGGGUGUUUUUCAAGUCUGAAAAUCAUAACAUUCAAACUAGCUUUUAGAUCAGGGGACAGGAAAUAGCAAGCCCCCCUGAGUGGUUUGGACAAAGUGAUAAGGAAUAAAGUUGUCUUUUUUACUGGCCUCUGGUACAUGCUCAAGCUACAAGAACACCCAUGACACACAUAUCAGUGUUGCCUAACACACAAUAUUACCAUUUGAUGAAAGAAUUUUACCAAUUGACUGUGUUAUGUUUUUCUCCAAGAAUAAUAUUUUUCACACAUGACAAAUUUCACAAGUCUCCUGUGUGGCUAUUAGCUAUUUAAGGUGAAAGCUGAGCAACUUUAAAAGGUCCCUCAGUAAUUCCAGUUGUUCUCUAGAAUUGCUUCUUAGCAUUAUUUGGUGUUUGUUUGGAAAAGAGACAAAAACAUCUAAAUUGACUUAUCAAAAUUAUAUCUUAUGCUUUACAGUACCACAAAGCUCCUAGGUUUCUUGUCACUCUGAAAUUCCUACAAGUCAACACACUGGAGAUAAGUUAAGGUUAAUUUCUUCAAUUAAAUCCAAUUAUCAGAUAUUCCUAGACUUAUUUCUAAUUAUACUCUUCUGUUUGGUGCCACUAGAACAAAUUCACUUGUCACAGCACUUAGGAAUUCACAAUGUGUAUUGUCACUGGAAAUUUGGACAUUGUUUCCACAAGUAAUGUUAUUCUACACUUUAUACUACUUUUUAUCCCUUGAUGAAAUAGCCUAUCUUCUGCUUUGGUGAAUCAAAGAUGUAAGGUAACAUACCCAAUAUGUCAAAGCUUAAAAACAAUCAAACAUAGAAGAUAAAACCCCAAACAAUCUGAAAAAUUUUAGCAAAGAUGAGUUGUACCCUUUUAAUCUAGUAAAAAUCACCUGAUUAAUUUAGCCUUUGUUUGCUAUGGAUCAUCUCUAAGAAACUGAUAACUAUUAACAAGGCAAUGCAAUUUCUAUAAAAGCAAAAAAAAUUGCAUUACAAAUUUUAUUUUAUUAUUUAUGUAUUGUUAGUUCGAGAGUUCAAACCCUGGGCCUUGUAUAUGCCGGGCAUCUGGUCUUCCACUGAGCUACACCCCAGCUACCUUUCAAAUUUCAAAACAUAUAUGAACAAAAUUAUUCUACUGGUCUUUUUCUUUGAAUAUGCAAACUGAUUGUACACAACUCUCAAAUCUGGAACCUCUGCAGCACAUCAUCCUCAUCCUCCAUAGCACAGCAUAGUGAAUCACUGGGUGCCUCUUGCUGAUUGCCUUUUCUGAAAUAGGUGUUGACCAAGAUGCUUGGGAUAUAGUAAUAAGAACAGUCAUGGGAUCUACCCUGUAAGAGUUUAUACUCUAGGAGAUGAUUCAGAUAAUUAAAACAAUAAUCAAAGUAGUAUCAGGAACACUUGAUUUAAUAGAGAGUGGAUGCUAUAAAGACAAGUAACCUGAACCUAGAGAAAAGAGUGAGGUGCAGUCAGUCACUUCAGGAGGGUUUGUAGUGGUGUCUGUGGUGGGGCGGCACUGGUUUUGUGGUGGGGUUAUUAACAGAGCAAAUUAAGAAGGGGAACAUAAUAUCAUGGAGAAUCAAAAGGGCUUGCCAAAGAUAAGAGAAUUAAAAAGAGCAUUUAAAGACCUGCCAGGAAAGUGAGAAAUGACUCAAUUAAAGAAGUGGAACCUGAGCAGUGUGCAUAAAGGUAAUUGUUGGAUACAAAUAGGUAGAGGAAUUCCUAAGCAAGAUGAUAGAAUAUAUAAGCAUAUUAUAUUUUCCUUCCACUUCCUUUAAAAAAACUUAUGAUGAUCAGAUAGUAACAAUAAUAAUUUAAAAAACUGCUAUGGACCAGGCAUAAUGAUACUUUGCGUAGACACAAGAUUAUAUGUUUAAAAACUAUGAAAUCCUUCAGUUUACUUUAAGCUCAAUAUCAGAGAAGUAGCUUGCUAUCUCUAGCUACAUAUAGAAUGAGUACAUUUAUUUGCAGUCAGUUCCUCUAGUUUAUAGCAAUGCUUUCCAUUGUUUUGCUUUGAUCUGAAGAAUUUUAUCAACAUUAUUAAGCUUAUCAUAUGUGAUAAGAGCAAAAGCACUGAGUAAUGUAAGUUUUGGUAAGAUAAACCACAAUAUUAUGAAAUGGAAACAGAAAUAGGACUUGGAUUUCUUUUUACAUUAAACUUUUUUUAAAUUUUGAGAUAAAAGUAGAAUUACAUGUGGUUGUAAAAAAUAAUACAGAGCAAUCUCUCCCACCCUUUAUCCAGUCCUCCACCAAGGGCAAUAUAUUGCAAAGCUAUAGUAAAACGACAUCAAAACCCAGAAAUUAGCAUUGAUAAUACCAAGCAGUGCUGAACUCCAUGUUAAUAGCAGAGUUAGUUUUUAAGAAAAUGCCAAUCUUUUUGUUUCCAAAGUUGUUGUAACAGCUUGGCACCAUCAAUAUUCAAGUGAUCUACAUUCUUUGUAUCAUUACUAGUAUUUUUGUAUGAUAUAUUACAUAUACAUAUUAAUAUGUAUAUAUAUAUAUAUAUAUAUAUAUAUUUGUAAUCAUUCUAUUAUAGUUAACAAUAAUCUUGCGAUUUUAAUUGGCAUUUCCAUAAAGACUAAUAGUGCUGACAUUUUUUUUCAUGUACUUAUUUGCCAUCUGUAUAUCCUCCUAGGUGAAAUGUCUCUCUAUGUGUAACUCCCUACCCCAGUUUCUAAAUGGAUUAUCAUUAUUAUUUACUGUUUAAAAGUAUAUAAUAUAACCUUGAUACCAGUCAUUUAUGAGUUUUCAGAUACUUUCUCCCAGUCUGAAAUUUGUUUAUCCAUUCUCUUUACAAGGUGUUUCCAAAAGCAUAAGUUUAAUUUUAGUGAAGCCAAAUUUAUCAUUUUUUUCACUUUAUAAAAGUACACAAGGAAAAGGUUCAUGAAAGAGAUCUAAUUUAUAUUCCACUAUUCCAAAAUAAGACUACAUCAUUUUAAUGAUAUUAUGAAAUAGAGAAGAAAAAUAUGAAAUUAAAAUUUGAAAAAGAAGUACAUAUUGCAGUAGUAGACUUCAGAAAAAUAUUGGGCACAGUGGGUGAAAAAAAAUCACUUCAGACCUAAAGACUAAACCAGACAUAAACUGAAAGGAAGACAAAUGCAAAUAAACCAAUACUAAUAUCUUCCUAGAAAAAUGUUAACCAGGAACUUUUCCAUAAUGAAGUGAAGAGAGAUUGAAAUAAUUCGAGAGAAAGUAAAUAAUGUUUAAUAUAGGCAAAGAAAAUAAGACAUACGGGCAAUAGGAGUCCCAUACUGCUUAAGGAAUAAAUAGAACUAAACAAAUACUUUAAGUUAUAAUUCAAGUAAAAUAUCCCUGGAAUACAGGAAAAAUAUUUGAAACUUCUAAAAAAAUUCAUAUUGUUGAGAAUAUUUAUCUGGAAUGAAUAACAAGAUAAUUUGUGCAAAACUACCAGAAUGUAAAAAAUAAAAUGAUUUGAGCAUAUAGAUGAAAAUAAUCAAAUCACUUACAUGAGAUAUAAAAUUACAUUAGUGUUGGAUUUUUAUAAAUCAAUGCAUAUUCCAGAAAAAAUGACGUACAUCAUUCAAAACAUGGGAAGAAAAGGUAAUCCCUACUUUGUAAAAAAAUUUUGUUCAGGAAAAUCAGCUAUUUUAAAAAUUUUUUAAAGUUUUAAUUUGUUAUAUAUGACAACAGAAUGCAUUACAAUUAAUAUUAACACAUAUAGAGCACAAUUUUCAUAUCUCUGAUUGUACACAAAAUAGAGUCACAUUCUUCAUGUCUUCAUACAUGUACUUAGGGUAAUAAUGACCAUCUCAUUCCACCAUCUUUCCUACCCCUAUACCCUUUCUCUUCGCCUCCCUCCCCUUUACCUUUUGCCUAUCUAUAGUUCAUUUAAUCUUCCCAUUUGCCCCCCACUCCCUGGAGCAUAUUAUGUAUCAGCAUUCUUAGAGAAGUCAUUCAGCAUUUGAUUAUUUGGGAUUGGCUAAUUUCACUUAACAUUAUAUUCUCCAGCUCAAUGCAUUUACCUGCAAAUGACACAAUUUUAUUCUCAUUUAAUAAUGAAUAAUAUUCCAUUGUGUAUAUAUACCACAUUUUCUUUAUCCAUUCAUUGUGGUUGGUUCCACAGUUUAGCUAUUGUGAAUUGUGCUGCUUUAAACAUUGAUGUGGCUGUGUCCAUGUAAUAUGCUGUUUUUAAGUCCUUUGGGUAUAGACCCAGCAGUGAGAUAGCGAGGUCACAUGGUGGUUUCAUUCCCAGUUUUCCAAGGAUUCUCCAUACUGCUUUCCAUAUUGGCUGCACCAAUUUAUAGUCCCACCAGUAGUGUAUGAGUGUACAUUUUUCCCUACAUUCUCGCCAGCACUUAUUGUUGUUUGUAUUCUUAAUAGCUGCCAUUCUGACUGGAGUGAGAUGAAAUCUUAAGAGUAGUUUUGAUUUGCAUUUCUAUAAUUGCUAGAGAUUUUGAACAGUUUUUCAUAUAUUUGUUGAUUGAUUGUAUAUCUUCUUCUGAGAAGUGUUUGUUCAGUUCCUUGGUCCAUUUAUUGAUUGGGUUAUUUGUUUUUUUGGUGUGAAAUUUUUUGAGUUCUUUAUAUAUGCUAGAGAUUAGUGCACUAUCUGACAUGCAUGUGGUAAGAAUUUGUUCCCAGUUAGUAGGCUCUCUAUUCACCUCACUGAUUGUUUCUAUUGCUGAGAAGAAGCUUUUUAGUUUGAAUCCAUCUCAUUUAUUGAUUCCUGAUAUUUAUUCUUGCACUAUAGAAGUCUUAUUAAGGAAGUUGGGGCCUAAUCUGACAUGGUGAAGAUUUGAGCCACUUUGUCUUCUAAUAGACAGAAUGUCUCUGCUUUAAUUCCUAGGUCCUUGAUCUACUUUGAGUAGAGUUUUGUGCAUGGUGGGAGACAGAGUUUUAAUUUCAUUUUGUUGCAUAUGGAUUUCCAAUCCUUCUAGCACCAUUUGUUGAAGAGUCCAUCUUUUCUACAAUGUCUGUUUUGGGCACCUUUAUCAAAUAUAAGAUAACUGUAAUUAUGUGGGCUAGUCUCUGUAUCCUCUAUUCUGUACCAUUGGUCCACAAGUCUAUUUUGGUGCCAAUGCCAUGCUGUUUUUGUUACUAUUGCUCUGUAGUAUGGUUUAAGCCUGGUAUAGUAAUGCCACCUGCUUCACUCUUCUUGCUAAGGAUUGCUUUAGCUAUUCUGGGUCUCUUAUUUUUUAAGAUGAAUUUCAUGGCUGCUUUUUCUAUUUCUAUGAGGAAUGUCAUUGGGAUUUUGAUUGGAAUUGUAUUAAAUCUGUAUAGUUCUUUUGGUAGUAUACUCAUUUUGGCAAUAUUAAUUCUACCUAUCCAAGAACAAAAUAGAUCUUUCCAUCUUCUAAGGUCUUCUUUAAUUUCUUUUUUUAGCAUUCUGUAGUUUUCAUUGUAAAGGACUUUCACCUCUUUCAUCAAGUUGAUUCUCAAGUAUUUUUUUGAAGCUAUUGUAAAUGGAGUAGUUUUCCUUGUUUCCCUUUCAGCGUAUUUAUCACUUAUAUAUAGAAAUGCUUUUGAUUUAUGGGUGUUGAUUUUGUAUGCUGCUAAUUUGCUGAAUUCAUUUCCUAGUUCUAGAAGUUUUCUAUUGGAACUUUUUGGGUCCUCUAGGUAUAGAAUCUUAUUGUCGGCAAAUAGUGCUAAUUUGAGUUCUUCUUUACCUAUCCGUAUUCCUUUAAUUUCUUUUGUCUGUCUAAUUGCUCUGGCCAGUGUUUCAAGAACUAUAUUAAAUAAAAGUGGUGAAAAGGAUCAUCCCUGUUUGUUCCACUUUUUAUAGGCAAUGGUUUUAAUUUUUCUCCAUUUAGAAUGCUGUUGACCUGGGGCUUAGUAUAGAUAGCCUUUGUGAUGUUGAGAUAUGUUCCUGUUAUCUCUAGUUUUUCUAGUGUUUUGAACAUGAAGGAGUGCUGUAUUUUGUUGAAUGCUUUUUCUGCGUCUAUUGAGACGAUCAUAUGGUUCUUAUCUUUAAGUCUAUUGAUGUGAUGAAUUACAUUUAUUGAAUUCCAUAUGUUGAACCAACCUUGCAUCCCUGGAAUGAACCCCACUUGAUCAUGGUGCACUAUCCUUUUGAUCCAUUUUUGUUCAAUUUGCCAGAAUUUUAUUGAGAAUUUUUGCAUCUAUGUUCAUUAGAGAUAUUAGUCUUAAGUUUUUUUGUUUGUUUUUGUUUUGUUUUGUUUUUUGAUGUGUCUUUGCCUAGUUUUGGAAUCAGGGUGAUGUUGGUUUCAGAAAGUUUGGAAGUGCUCCCUAUUUUCCUGUUUUCUGAAAUAAAUUGAAGAGUAUUGGUAUUAGUUCUUUUUUAUAGCUCUUAUACACAUGCUCUGCUGUGUAUCCAUCUGGUCCUGGGCUUUUCUUGGUUGGUAGCUUUCUCAUGAUGUCUUAUUUCAUUGCUUGAAGUUGAUCUGUUUAAACUGUGUAUAUCAUCCUGAUUCCAUUUGGGCAAAUCAUACAGAAAUUUGUCAAUGCCAUUGAUAUUUUCUAUUUUAUUAGAGUACAAGUUUUUAAAAUAAUUUCUAAUUAUCUUCUGUAUUUCUGUAAUGUCUGUCAUGAUAUUUCCUUUUUCAUCAUGUAUGUUAGUAAUUUGAGUUUUCUCUCUUCUUCUCUUUGUUGGCAUGGAUAGGGUUGGUCAAUUUUAUUUAAUUUUUUUUUCAAUUGUUUCUUUUGUUUCAAUUUUAUUCGUUUCAGCUCUGAUUUUAAUUAUUUCCUGUCUUCUACUGAAUUUGGUGUUGAUUUUUUUUUUUUCCCUGGGGCUUUGAAAUGUAAUGUUAAGUCACUUAUUUGUUGACUUUUUCUUCUUUUAAGGAAUGAACACUGUGCAAUGAACUUUCCUCUUAGAACUGCCUUCAUAGGGGGAUCCAACAUGGCGGCGAGGGGGGAGGCAGCGCUUUCAGUACCUCCUCAACAACGGGGUCAGAGAGAUGCAUGGAUACGCUUAGAUUCAACCUGCUGAGAAACUCCUAGCAAAAUUCCACUAAAGAGAGACCGGCCGGGAAUUGGAAGGAUUUUUGGAGGUGACAGUUUGCCCUAGACGAGUGAAUCUCCGUCACGCAGCGCAGAGGUCCAGACCCGCCAGCCGCUGCCCGCGCGACUCGUCGACUGUCGGAUGCCUGCACGCGGCCCCCGCAUCAGGGCAGAUAGCCUCCGAGGCGCAGCGCAGCGCAGCAGGAGCGGUGCAGGGACUCUAGGAAGAGGUCUCUCGCCAAGCCUUCAUGAAAUAGCGAACCGGGAGCUGGAACCAACCAGAGACAGACCAGUCCCACCCCUCCCUUCGGACACUCCGGCAAGGAGCCUUGGGCCCGCCAUAGCAGAGAGGUGACAUCACCAGACUUCAGCCGACAGAAUUCCUUCCCAGCAGAAUCCACGUUAACAGGUGUGUGACUCCCACCCCCUCCAGAUACAAGCAGCCAGGAAACCUCGGGAAUCUCUCCGGGGGCGUGUCUGUAGGGAAGCAGAGGGGAUUCCAGAUCCCCACCUCCCCUUAACACCAGCGGUGACACCCAAGAUCUUAGCCGCCAGUUUCUGGGGGCGUGCCCACCAAAGGGGUGCGGAAAAAUUAAACUGUUGGUUCCCAGAUCACCCCACCACAGCACUGGGGCUUAGAUGAAUGACAGAGAGGGUGUUCAUCGUUCGGGAUAUAGGACACGCGGUGGGGCUGCAAGUGUAAUCAGAUCCUUGGGGAACCGCCUCCGGUGAACAGGACCUGGCUGGCUGGCUGGGAGGAGGAACAGGGGGAGGGGCCGGAUAAGUGAAAGGGCUCUGGACUAACAGGAUUGAGAGACUCCCAGGAGCCACCUUACAGGGAUUUCUGUCAGCACAUAGAGGGCAGAAGCUCCGCCUAUUGGAAGAGAAGAAAAUGGGAUUCAGCCAUAGAACAGGGGAUGCCAGCAUGGCAGAGAUCUGAUGUCAUCAGAGAGCAGCCGAGGAGAGAACUUCAUCGGUGCCAGCGGCGACGGAAACAGUUGGUCUCCUGGUAGGGAGGGUGAGUCACAGAUACCCGAGUCUCUCUCGCUUGGACGUCGAGCCAGAGGGGAGGAGCGGGGCCGCCGCCCGCGCCCGCAAGGUAGGCAGACCUGCGACCAACCUGCAGGUCAGGCCCAUUGGUCUGCGGGCGUGGUAGGGGGGGCAGGGCAGAGCCGCUGCCCGCGCGGGCAAGGUAAGCAGACUUGCUACAGACCGGCGGAUCAGGCCCAGCGGCCUGCCAGCGUGGUACACGCGUCACCCCAACUGGAGUAGGGACAGAGCAGAGCCUUCGCCCGAGCCCAGAUCAGGCCCAGCGGCCCGCCUGUGUGGUGGUCAAGUGACCCCAAUUGGAGUGGGGGCGGAGCG
rnacentral:lncRNA from 1 species